rnacentral:rRNA from 1 species
AAUCAACGCUGGCGGCGCGCUUAACACAUGCAAGUCGAACGAGAAAGGGAGCAAUCCUGAGUAAAGUGGCGCACUGGUGAGUAACACGUGGAUAUCUACCUCUUGGUGGGGAAUAACCUGGGGAAACCUGGGCUAAUACCGCAUAAGUUCGUGAGAAGAAAGGCGCAAGCCGCCGAGAGAGGAGUCCGCGGUCGAUUAGAUAGUUGGCAGGGUAAAGGCCUACCAAGUCUAAGAUCGAUAGCCGGCCUGAGAGGGCACACGGCCACACUGGCACUGAAACACGGGCCAGACUCCUACGGGAGGCAGCAGUGGGGAAUCUUGCACAAUGGGGGAAACCCUGAUGCAGCGACGCCGCGUGAGCGAUGAAGCCCUUCGGGGUGUAAAGCUCUUUCGGCAGGAACGAUAAUGACGGUACCUGCAGAAGAAGCUGCGGCUAACUACGUGCCAGCAGCCGCGGUAAUACGUAGGCAGCAAGCGUUGUUCGGAAUUACUGGGCGUAAAGAGUGUGUAGGUGGUGUCGUAAGUUUGGUGUGAAAUCUCCCGGCUUAACUGGGAGGGUGCGCCGAAGACUGCGAUGCUUGAGUAUGGGAGAGG